rnacentral:rRNA from 1 species
GACGAACGCUGGCGGCGUGCCUAAUACAUGCAAGUAGAACGCACAGUUUAUACCGUAGCUUGCUACACCAUAGACUGUGAGUUGCGAACGGGUGAGUAACGCGUAGGUAACCUGCCUGGUAGCGGGGGAUAACUAUUGGAAACGAUAGCUAAUACCGCAUAAUAUUUAUUAUUGCAUGAUAAUUAAUUGAAAGGUGCAAUUGCACCACUACCAGAUGGACGUGCGUUGUAUUAGCUAGUAGGUGAGGUCACGGCUCACCUAGGCGACGAUACAUAGCCGACCUGAGUGGGUGCUCGGCCACACUGGGACUGAGACAACGCCCCGGCUGCUACGGGAGGCAGCAGUAGGGAAUCUUCGGCAAUGGACGAAAGUCUGACCGAGCAACGCCGCGUGAGUGAAGAAGGUUUUCGGCUCGUAAAGCUCUGUUGUAAGAGAAGAACGGGUGUGAGAGUGGAAAGUUCACACUGUGACGGUAUCUUACCAGAAAGGGACGGCUAACUACGUG